UACUGCACUAAAAUCUUUUUUUAAUCCAACAUCGAGGUCGCAAACUUUUUUAUUAAUAAAAACUCUCCAAAAAAAUUACGCUGUUAUCCCUAAGGUAACUUAAUCUUAUAAUCAAUAAAAUUGGAUCAAAAAAAUCAUAAACCAAUGAACAUUUAUAAAAUAAAGUUUUUAAAAUUUAACUGUCACCCCAACAAAACUUAAAUAUAAAUUAAUAAAAAUGAACAACUAAAAUUAUAAUAAUAUACAAUCAAGUAAAGUUCUAUAGGGUCUUCUCGUCUAAUAAAAUUAUUUCAGCUUUUUAACUAAAAAAGAAAAUUAUUUAAAAUAAAACAAAUAAAGAAUAUUUCUCAUCCAAUCAUUCAUACUAUUCCCCAAUUAAAAGACAAAUGAUUAUGCUACCUUUGCACAGUUAAAAUACUGCGGCCAUUAAAUUAAAUCAGUG
rnacentral:rRNA from 1 species